CAUUUGAUGAAAUAUUGAGUCACAGCUUUUCAUUCUCAAUCAUUAUGAUGUCACACUGUAUGACAACAUGAAACGAGCCGAACAAAUGCACAAAACAGAGCGGCAAACUAGGCCAACUAUUUCAACAAGGCACAUCAAUGGCUGUCCUCCGAGUACUGUAGUUUCUCUCAUCUUUUGCCAGAGAUGCCACCAGGGAGAACGUCAGCAAGCAAGAGAGACAGAGCUACGGGGAGAAAUGGAGAUGCUUAGCAGAAUGUUCAAACUGCUCUAUGUAGUCUCCAUUACCAGAACGGGCCAUGAAAGAAGAAGACAGUAGUUCAUGUAACAUUGAGAUUUUUGCUGAUAAUUUUCCAGAGGUUUAGCUCUCGUUUGUGCAUAUACAUGUACAUAUUCAAACUUUGCAUGUCACGUUUGGUUACAUGACAAAUGAAAACCAAAAACCUGUUUUGUAGGGUUAGUGACAAUGACAGGUGCCAAGUUUUCUAAAAGUUACACAAAGAUGAUUACAUAAUUUUUUUUUAUUUAUUUGUUUGUUUAAUUAUGCAUAAUACUAAAAGUGGUGCAGUGGUUCUUAACACGUUUUGCCAACAUUUAUAUUAUAACCCAUAUAGUGGUUAUGGUUUUGCUCUGUUUUCUGUGUUAUGUCAUAUUCUGUGCCAUAUUUUAAGUUUAUUCAGUUCCUGAUUCCUGUGUAUUUGUAUUUUGUGUAUUCUAUUUGUAGUUGAUUUGUUGUUGUUGUCGUCUAUUUUUGGAUUAACAAGUCAUUGAUUCCAUAUGUGUCUUUUUUUGGACAUUUGUCACUGCGUCACUGCCUGUAUAUACAGUACCCCAGUGUUUCAUGGGUUAUUUGUCAAGCCUUGUCCUUGUAGUGUUUGGUCUGUUCAUUCUGUUGCUUAUAUUUCUGGGGUGUAUUCCAGAAAGCAGGGUUAACUUACCGUGAACUAAACCCUGAACUCUCGGUUGAUUAACCCCAAACCUUGCUUACUCGAGGUAUGUGGUUCCAAAAAUGCGUCCGGGAGUAAGUUCAUUCAACUCAGAGUAUGUUCCUGGUUAAGACUCAAGACAUUCUCAACAGAGCGACGAAUCGACGAGUCACUAUGGAAACGGACGCUAAGAAAAAGCGCGCCAAGCUGUUUCUUUCUUCUUCUUUUGUUCAUUAGUUGUUUACAUGCUUAGUGUAUAUCGCCACCUAAUUGAUGACCGUGAUUUUUUUUUCCAUGUAAUCUUUAAUCCUUGAGAAUGUGAAUUAUAUUUUUUGUUUUAUGCUAAUUAUAUAUUAAGUCAUAUCAGAUAUGUAUUUUGAUUUAGAAUUUAGACAUUAU
ensembl:lncRNA